rnacentral:rRNA from 1 species
AACGAACGCUGGCGGCAGGCUUAACACAUGCAAGUCGAACGGGUGUAGCAAUACAUCAGUGGCAGACGGGUGAGUAACACGUGGGAACCUUCCUAGAGGUACGGAACAACUCAGGGAAACUUGAGCUAAUACCGUAUACGCUCUUGCGAGGAAAGAUUUAUCGCCUUUAGACGGGCCCGCGUCGGAUUAGCUAGUUGGUGGGGUAACGGCCUACCAAGGCGACGAUCCGUAGCUGAUCUGAGAGGAUGAUCAGCCACACUAGGACUGAGACACGGCCCAGACUCCUACGGGAGGCAGCAGUGGGGAAUCUUGGACAAUGGGCGCAAGCCUGAUCCAGCCAUGCCGCGUGAGUGAAGAAGGCCUGCGGGUUGUAAAGCUCUUUUGCCAGGGACGAUAAUGACGGUACCUGGAGAAUAAGCCCCGGCAAACUUCGUAGCCAGCAGCCGCGGUAA